rnacentral:rRNA from 1 species
GACGAACGCUGGCGGCGUGCUUAACACAUGCAAGUCGAACGGAAAGGCCUCUUUCGGGGGGUACUCGAGUGGCGAACGGGUGAGUAACACGUGAGUAACCUGCCCUUGACUUUGGGAUAACUUCAGGAAACUGGGGCUAAUACCGGAUAGGAGCUCCUGCUGCAUGGUGGGGGUUGGAAAGUUUCGGCGGUUGGGGAUGGACUCGCGGCUUAUCAGCCUGUUGGUGGGGUAGUGGCUUACCAGGGCUUUGACGGGUAGCCGGCCUGAGAGGGUGACCGGCCACAUUGGGACUGAGAUACGGCCCAGACUCCUACGGGAGGCAGCAGUGGGGAAUAUUGCACAAUGGGUGGAAGCCUGAUGCAGCAACGCCGUGUGCGGGAUGACGGCCUUCGGGUUGUAAACCGCUUUCGCUCAUGACGAAGCUUUGUGUGACGGUAGUGGGUAAAGAAGCACCGGCUAACUACGUG